GGAGGAUAGAGUAGAAGAGGCAGCAGAGACGGGCAUGCCCUAAAAAAGCAAAGCGGUCAAAGACCCAAAAAGGGCUUGAAGUAGUUUUGAAGGAGGAGGAGUUACAAGGGGUCUACCAUAAACCUGACUAGGAGGAGGCAUGAGUAUAGAGCAGGAGUGAAGGCAGGAGGCCAGGGAAGGGAUGCUCUCAGAGGGGUGUGCUGAUGGAGACGCUAGAUUCCAAAUUAGGGUGUGAUACGGGGCCAACCGAGAAGAGAAACUACGGUGUCAAAUCCCACGCCCCCCACCCCAAAGGCAUGCAAGGGUCAGAAAGCAAGAUGGAGUUUCGCUCUUAUCGCCCAGGCUGGAAUGCAAUGGCACGAUAUCGGCUCACCGCAACCUCUGCCUCCCAGGUUCAAGUGAUUCUCCUGCCUCAGCCUCCCAAAUCCCUUGCGAUUAAACGCAUGCGCCACCAUGCCUGGCUAAUUUUUUGGUAUUUUUAGUAGAGACAGGGUUUCACCAUGUUGGCCAAGCUGGUCUCGAACUCCUGACCUCAGGUGAUCCAACCACCUCAGCCUCCCAAAGUGCUGGGAUUACAGGUGUGAGCCACUGUGCCUGGCCCCAGUUAUUGUUACCAUCAGAUGACAGCUCUGUGCAUGUUAUUACCCAUGAAGACCUUCCAGUGAGACAAGAGAUGGAGGUGGAAGACAGUGAAAUUGAUGAUCCAGAUCUGGUGUAGGCAUAGGCUAUGUUUGUGUUUAAGUCUUAGUUUUUAACCAAAAAAAAAAGUUUAAAACAUAAAAUUAAAAAUUGCCUUAAAUAGAAAAAAAGCUUAUGGAAUAAAGAUAUAAAGAAAGAAAAUAUUUUGUACAUCUGUACAAUGUGUUUGUGUUUUAAGCUAACUGUUAUUACAAAAGAGUCCCCCCAAAUUUUUAAAGGCUGGGUGUGGUGGCUCAUGCCUGUAAUACCAGCACUUUGGGAGACCGAGGUGGGUGGAUCACCUGAGGUCAGGAGUUCAAGACCAGCCUG
rnacentral:lncRNA from 1 species